rnacentral:rRNA from 1 species
ACGGGGGUUGCAAGCGUUGUCCGGAAUUACUAGGCGUAAAGGGCAGGUAGGCGGAUCCAUAAGUUUUUUGUUAAAGGCAACGGCUUACCCGUUGUAAGGCAGGAGAUACUGUGGAUCUGGAAUGCGGUUGGGGAAGACAGAAUUCCUGGUGUAGCGGUGAAAUCCUAUAAGCCUAGGAGGAACACCUGUGGCGAAGGCACCUAACUGGAACGAACCUGACGGUGAGUAGCGAAAGUGUGGGUCGCGAACCG